rnacentral:rRNA from 1 species
GACGAACGCUGGCGGCGUGCUUAACACAUGCAAGUCGAACUGAAAGGCCCUGCUUUUGUGGGGUGCUCGAGUGGCGAACGGGUGAGUAACACGUGAUUAACCUGCCCUUGACUUUGGGAUAACUUCAGGAAGCUGGGGCUAAUACCGGAUAGUAGCUCCUGCUGCAUGGUGGGGUUUGGAACGUUUCGGCGGUUGGGGAUGGACUCGCGGCUUAUCAGCUUGUUGGUGGGGUAGUGGCUUACCAAGGCUUUGACGGGUAGCCGGCCUGAGAGGGUUACCGGCCACAUUGGGAAUGAGAUACGGCCCAGACUCAUACGGGAGGCAGGAGUAGGGAAUAUUGCAAAAUGGGCGGAAGCCUGAUGCAGCAACGCCGCGUGCGGGAUAACGGCCUUCGGGUUGUAAACCGCUUUCGCCUGUGACGAAGCGUGAGUGAAGGUAAUGGGUAAAGAAGUACCGGCUAACUACGUG